rnacentral:rRNA from 1 species
UACGAAGGGGGCUAGCGUUGUUCGGAUUUACUGGGCGUAAAGCGCACGUAGGCGGAUCGAUCAGUCAGGGGUGAAAUCCCAGAGCUCAACUCUGGAACUGCCUUUGAUACUGUCGAUCUGGAGUAUGGAAGAGGUGAGUGGAAUUCCGAGUGUAGAGGUGAAAUUCGUAGAUAUUGGGAAGAACACCGACGGCGAAGGCAGCCGUCUGGACCGACACUGACGCUGAGGCGCGAAAGCGUGGGGAGCAAACAGG